AACGAACGCUGGCGGCGUGCCUAACACAUGCAAGUCGUGCGAGAAAGUUCCUUCGGGAGCGAGUAAAGCGGCGCACGGGUGAGUAACACGUAGGUAACCUGCCCCCCAGUCUGGAACAACUAGAGGAAACUCUAGCUAAUGCCGGAUGAGACCACGAUCCCUUCGGGGGUUGCGGCCAAAAGAUGGCCUCUACUUGUAAGCUAUCGCUGAGGGAUGGGCCUGCGGGCCAUUAGCUUGUUGGUGAGGUAACGGCUCACCAAGGCUGUGAUGGCUAGCUGGUCUGAGAGGAUGACCAGCCACACUGGGACUGAGACACGGCCCAGACUCCGUACGGGAGCAGCAGUGGGAAUAUUGCGACAAAGUGGGACGAAACGCCUGACGCAGCGACGCCGCGU
rnacentral:rRNA from 1 species